rnacentral:rRNA from 1 species
UACGAAGGGGGCUAGCGUUGUUCGGAAUCACUGGGCGUAAAGCGCACGUAGGCGGAUCGUUAAGUCGGGGGUGAAAUCCUGGAGCUCAACUCCAGAACUGCCUUCGAUACUGGCGAUCUUGAGUCCGGAAGAGGUGAGUGGAACUCCUAGUGUAGAGGUGGAAUUCGUAGAUAUUAGGAAGAACACCAGUGGCGAAGGCGGCUCACUGGUCCGGUACUGACGCUGAGGUGCGAAAGCGUGGGGAGCAAACAGG